rnacentral:rRNA from 1 species
GAUGAACGCUGGCGGCGUGCCUAAUACAUGCCAGUCGAGCGAACAGACGAGGAGCUUGCUCCUCUGACGUUAGCGGCGGACGGGUGAGUAACACGUGGAUAACCUACCUAUAAGACUGGGAUAACUUCGGGAAACCGGAGCUAAUACCGGAUAAUAUAUUGAACCGCAUGGUUCAAUAGUGAAAGACGGUUUUGCUGUCACUUAUAGAUGGAUCCGCGCCGCAUUAGCUAGUUGGUAAGGUAACGGCUUACCAAGGCAACGAUGCGUAGCCGACCUGAGAGGGGGGUCGGGCACAAUGGAACGGAGAAACGGUCCAGACCCCUACGGGGGGCAGAAGUAGGGAAAUUUCCGCAAGGGGGGAAAGGCUGAAGGAGCAACGGCGGGGGGGGGAAGAAGGUCUUCGGAAUGUAAAACUUUGUUAUUAGGGAAAAAAAAAUGGGGAAGGAACUAAGGCAGUUGUGAAGGGACCAAAUAAGAAAGCCACCGCUAAACAAC